CCUACGGGAGGCUGCAGUGAGGAAUAUUGGUCAAUGGCCGGAAGGCUGAACCAGCCAUGCCGCGUGAAGGUCAGUGCCCUAUGGGCGUUAAACUUCUUUUGUGCGGGAGCAAUAAUGGUCACGUGUGGCCAGACGAGAGUACCGUACGAAUAAGCAUCGGCUAACUCCGUGCCAGCAGCCGCGGUAAUACGGGGGAUGCAAGCGUUAUCCGGAUUUAUUGGGUUUAAAGGGUGCGUAGGCUGUGAGGUAAGUCAGCGGUGAAAUGCCCCCGCGCAACGGGGUGAAGUGCCAUUGAUACUGCCUUGCUGGAAUGCGGAUGCCGUGGGAGGAAUGUGUGGUGUAGCGGUGAAAGGCAUAGAUAUCACACAGAACACCGAUUGCGAAGGCAUCUCACGAAGCCGCGAUUGACGCUGAUGCACGAAAGCGUGGGUAUCAAACAGGAUUAGAUACCCCUGUAGAC
rnacentral:rRNA from 1 species